rnacentral:rRNA from 1 species
GGUGGAUUAGUGGCGAACGGGUGAGUAUCACGUGAGUAACCUGCCCUUGACUCUGGGAUAAGCCCGGGAAACUGGGUCUAAUACCGGAUAUGACCUCUCAUCGCAUGGUGGGGGGUGGAAAGUUUUUAACGGUCUUGGAUGGGCUCGCGGCCUAUCAGCUUGACGGUGGGGUAGUGGCCUACCGUGGCUUUGACGGGUAGCCGGCCUGAGAGGGUGACCGGCCACACUGGGACUGAGACACGGCCCAGACUCCUACGGGAGGCAGCAGUGGGGAAUAUUGCACAAUGGGCGCAAGCCUGAUGCAGCGACSCCGCGUGCGGGAUGACGGCCUUCGGGUUGUAAACCGCUUUCAGUACAGAAGAAGCCCUUUUUGGGUGACGGUAUGUGCAGAAGAAGCGCCGGCUAACUACGUGCCAGCAGCCGCGGUAAUACGUAGGGCGCGAGCGUUAUCCGGAAUUAUUGGGCGUAAAGAGCUUGUAGGCGGUUUGCCGCGUCUGCUGUGAAAGCCCGGGGCUUAACUCCGGGUGUGCAGUGRGUACGGGCAGGCUAGAGUGCAGUAGGGGGAGACUGRAAUUCCUGGUGUAGCGGUGAAAUGCGCAGAUAUCAGGAGGAACACCGAUGGCGAAGGCAGGUCUCUGGGCUGUUACUGACGCUGAGAAGCGAAAGCAUGGGUAGCGAACAGGAUUAGAUACCCUGGUAGUCCAUGCCGUAAACGUUGGGCACUAUGUGUGGGGGGACAUUCCACGUUUUCCGCGCCGUAGCUAACGCAUUAAGUGCCCCCGCCUGGGGAGUACGGCCGCAAGGCUAAAACUCAAAGGAAUUGAC